rnacentral:pre_miRNA from 1 species
UUAAGUCAAAUUUGUAUGCAGUUGGAACAGCGCCCCUAGCGGCAAACGUAGGCAAACGAUCCCAUUCCAUACAAAUUUGAGUUA